rnacentral:tRNA from 1 species
GGAAAUGUGCCCGAAUGAAAAAGGACCACUUUGAUAGAGUGAACUAUGGGAGUUAAAUUCCCCCCGUUUCCU